UGAUCUGGGGGAGCUCAAAAGAUUACGC
rnacentral:sRNA from 1 species